rnacentral:lncRNA from 1 species
UUUGAAAUGAAAUAAAGUCAGCUCCUCCCUGGCUCCGCCCCUACCUAGCUGUGGCCUGUGCAUCUCCACAGCCAGCCACGUUCCCCAGGUCUAGGAGGCAAUGUCCCCUCUCGCUCCCCCAGUUUUAGUGGUUGGAG